GGUUAAGCGACUAAGCGUACACGGUGGAUGCCCUGGCAGUCAGAGGCGAUGAAGGACGUGCUAAUCUGCGAAAAGCGCCGGCGAGGUGAUAUGAACCUUUGACCCGGCGAUGUCCGAAUGGGGAAACCCAGUGUGUUCCGACACACUAUCGUUAACUGAAUACAUAGGUUAACGAGGCGAACCGGGGGAACUGAAACAUCUAAGUACCCCGAGGAAAAGAAAUCAACCGAGAUUCCCCCAGUAGCGGCGAGCGAACGGGGAGCAGCCCGGAGUCUGAAUCAGCUUGUGUGUUAGUGGAACGGUCUGGAAAGUCCGACGGUACAGGGUGAUAGUCCCGUACACGAAAAUGCACAUGCUGUGAACUCGAAGAGUAGGGCGGGACACGUGGUAUCCUGUCUGAAUAUGGGGGACCAUCCUCCAAGGCUAAAUACUCCUGACUGACCGAUAGUGAACCAGUACCGUGAGGGAAAGGCGAAAAGAACCCCGGCGAGGGGAGUGAAAAAGAACCUGAAACCGUGUACGUACAAGCAGUGGGAGCACCUUCGGGUGUGACUGCGUACCUUUUGUAUAAUGGGUCAGCGACUUAUAUUCUGUAGCAAGGUUAACCGUAUAGGGGAGCCGAAGGGAAACCGAGUCUUAACUGGGCGUUAAGUUGCAGGGUAUAGACCCGAAACCCGGUGAUCUAGCCAUGGGCAGGUUGAAGGUUGGGUAACACUAACUGGAGGACCGAACCGACUAAUGUUGAAAAAUUAGCGGAUGACCUGUGGCUGGGGGUGAAAGGCCAAUCAAACCGGGAGAUAGCUGGUUCUCCCCGAAAGCUAUUUAGGUAGCGCCUCGUGAACUCAUCUUCGGGGGUAGAGCACUGUUUCGGCUAGGGGGCCAUCCCGGCUUACCAACCCGAUGCAAACUACGAAUACCGAAGAAUGUUAUCACGGGAGACACACGGCGGGUGCUAACGUCCGUCGUGAAGAGGGAAACAACCCAGACCGCCAGCUAAGGUCCCAAAGUCAUGGUUAAGUGGGAAACGAUGUGGGAAGGCACAGACAGCCAGGAUGUUGGCUUAGAAGCAGCCAUCAUUUAAAGAAAGCGUAAUAGCUCACUGGUCGAGUCGGCCUGCGCGGAAGAUGUAACGGGGCUAAACCAUGCACCGAAGCUGCGGCAGCGACGCUUAUGCGUUGUUGGGUAGGGGAGCGUUCUGUAAGCCGUUGAAGGUGUGCUGUGAGGCAUGCUGGAGGUAUCAGAAGUGCGAAUGCUGACAUAAGUAACGAUAAAGCGGGUGAAAAGCCCGCUCGCCGGAAGACCAAGGGUUCCUGUCCAACGUUAAUCGGGGCAGGGUGAGUCGACCCCUAAGGCGAGGCCGAAAGGCGUAGUCGAUGGGAAACAGGUUAAUAUUCCUGUACUUGGUGUUACUGCGAAGGGGGGACGGAGAAGGCUAUGUCAGCCGGGCGACGGUUGUCCCGGUUUAAGCAUGUAGGCGGAGGUUCCAGGUAAAUCCGGUACCUUAUUAACGCUGAGGUGUGAUGACGAGGCACUACGGUGCUGAAGUGAUAAAUGCCCUGCUUCCAGGAAAAGCCUCUAAGCAUCAGGUAACACGAAAUCGUACCCCAAACCGACACAGGUGGUCAGGUAGAGAAUACCAAGGCGCUUGAGAGAACUCGGGUGAAGGAACUAGGCAAAAUGGUGCCGUAACUUCGGGAGAAGGCACGCUGAUAUGUAGGUGAAGCCCCUGCGGGCGGAGCUGAAAUCAGUCGAAGAUACCAGCUGGCUGCAACUGUUUAUUAAAAACACAGCACUGUGCAAACACGAAAGUGGACGUAUACGGUGUGACGCCUGCCCGGUGCCGGAAGGUUAAUUGAUGGGGUUAGCGGCAACGCGAAGCUCUUGAUCGAAGCCCCGGUAAACGGCGGCCGUAACUAUAACGGUCCUAAGGUAGCGAAAUUCCUUGUCGGGUAAGUUCCGACCUGCACGAAUGGCGUAAUGAUGGCCAGGCUGUCUCCACCCGAGACUCAGUGAAAUUGAACUCGCUGUGAAGAUGCAGUGUACCCGCGGCAAGACGGAAAGACCCCGUGAACCUUUACUAUAGCUUGACACUGAACACUGGUCCUUGAUGUGUAGGAUAGGUGGGAGGCUUUGAAGCGUGGACGCCAGUCUGCGUGGAGCCGCCCUUGAAAUACCACCCUUUAAUGGCUGGUGUUCUAACGUAGACCCGUGAUCCGGGUUGCGGACAGUGUCUGGUGGGUAGUUUGACUGGGGCGGUCUCCUCCCAAAGAGUAACGGAGGAGCACGAAGGUUGGCUAAUCCUGGUCGGACAUCAGGAGGUUAGUGCAAUGGCAUAAGCCAGCUUGACUGCGAGCGUGACGGCGCGAGCAGGUGCGAAAGCAGGUCAUAGUGAUCCGGUGGUUCUGAAUGGAAGGGCCAUCGCUCAACGGAUAAAAGGUACUCCGGGGAUAACAGGCUGAUACCGCCCAAGAGUUCAUAUCGACGGCGGUGUUUGGCACCUCGAUGUCGGCUCAUCACAUCCUGGGGCUGAAGUAGGUCCCAAGGGUAUGGCUGUUCGCCAUUUAAAGUGGUACGCGAGCUGGGUUUAGAACGUCGUGAGACAGUUCGGUCCCUAUCUGCCGUGGGCGCUGGAGAAUUGAGGGGGCUGCUCCUAGUACGAGAGGACCGGAGUGGACGCAUCACUGGUGUUCGGGUUGUCAUGCCAAUGGCACUGCCCGGUAGCUAAAUGCGGAAGAGAUAAGUGCUGAAAGCAUCUAAGCACGAAACUUGCCCCGAGAUGAGUUCUCCCUGAGACUUUAAGUCUCCUGAAGGAACGUUGAAGACGACGACGUUGAUAGGUCGGGUGUGUAAGCGCAGCGAUGCGUUGAGCUAACCGAUACUAAUGAACCGUGAGGCUUAACCUU
rnacentral:rRNA from 1 species